UGGGGAAUAUUGCACAAUGGGCGCAAGCCUGAUGCAGCCAUGCCGCGUGUAUGAAGAAGGCCUUCGGGUUGUAAAGUACUUUCAGCGGGGAGGAAGGGAGUAAAGUUAAUACCUUUGCUCAUUGACGUUACCCGCAGAAGAAGCACCGGCUAACUCCGUGCCAGCAGCCGCGGUAAUACGGAGGGUGCAAGCGUUAAUCGGAAUUACUGGGCGUAAAGCGCACGCAGGCGGUUUGUUAAGUCAGAUGUGAAAUCCCCGGGCUCACCCUGGGAACUGCAUCUGAUACUGGCAAGCUUGAGUCUCGUAGAGGGGGGUAGAAUUCCAGGUGUAGCGGUGAAAUGCGUAGAGAUCUGGAGGAAUACCGGUGGCGAAGGCGGCCACCUGGACGAAGACUGACGCUCAGGUGCGAAAGCGUGGGGAGCAAACAGG
rnacentral:rRNA from 1 species